CCGCCCGCGCCUCAUGAAUAUUAAGCGGCCCCGCCGCUCGGGGGAGGUGGCCCGCCGUGACGACACCGCUCGCGCGGCGAGGCGGAGCCUCGCCCAUAAACACAGCGUGACGCCGGGCGGAGGAGAGCGGUGGCUGCUGGGAAAUGUAGCCCCCACCCCCGGCGACUACAGCUCCCGGCUGCGCGCGCUCCUCGGAUUGUCGUCUCCCGCUCUUUUUCUCCGUCCCUCAGGCGAGCGCUGUUCGGCCGCCGCCCGGCAGCGCGUGCCCGUGGUGGAACGGCCUCAUUGAUCACACGGCCCCAUUUCACCCACCGCGGUCGCGAGGCUGGGGCCGUCCCACCUGAGGUCAUCUCGUCAGAGACGGCGUUCAGAGGGGCUGGAGGUGUUAAGGACUUGCACGCGCGCCGAUGGAGCCGCUUGGUGUGAAGGGUCGCUGGGAAAGAUCGUUAUCCUGCCUUUGUAUAGGGCUAGAAUGGCUGAAAAUAUUUCCUGACAAACUGCUGAAGAAUCAGUAUCUAGACGGCAAUACUCCCUCCUCCCACCUGCAAAUAAAGUUAAUUUAAAUGAAUAGCUGAAAGGAUAAAUCACAACCAGAUAAAUGCAAUUAGCACAAAGGCACAAGCCUAUUUAUCUGCAGCAUUUAUUCAGAGAAUUCGCUUAUGCUCCUGGGGACGUUUUAGCUGAGUAACGUGGGUCGGAAGGGGCUGUAGUUGCCUGAGGUCAUUCCUUUUUAAUACAGUUUGUAAAAUGGCAGCAAAACAUGAUGCCAGAGACUCAUCACAAGUGCUGUGCUCCGCAGUAAAGUGGGGGUUGUGGUGCAGCACUCAGUGUAUUACAGCCCGAUUCUGUGUGCUCCCCACGUUCAUGAUUCCCACAGAUUCAGAGCACCCUCAUGCCACCUGUUUCACAAAGGUUAUCCCAGGUCUCCUAAUUUAAGAGCACGAGAAAAACACUUCAUGUGCAAAGGCACACACCAACACACUCAGCAGAAGAAGACAGCAGGCUCUGGAGACGUUCUUGUUAGCAGUACCACUUGAAAUAAAAGGCAGUUUGUGGAAAACAGUCUGUUAUCCUUGAAGGCAGUCCUUGGAGUGAAGCAGAGAGAGAAAGAAGCUGUGCUUUUCUCUAAUUGUUCAAUUAUCUGACUGUUCACGCUCACAAAAAAGAUCUAAAACACAGAGAUCUUCAAAUACGUCUUAGGAAUGCAGAACUGGAAGGGAGGUUUCCUGGGACAUCAGGUGUGCCCUUGUCCCCGAAGAUCCCAGGUCUCCAUACCUAACUGAAUGUCCUCCCAAAGCGGACCAGGUGGGUCUGCCCACGUUACUGCUCUGGUGAUCAGGAGCUUUCUUCCACUUUUCGAUCUGAAUUUACACAUGGGUGGUCUGUACCCAUGUGUUCCCAUUGCCCUUUGACUCCAAUAGCUUUUUUUUUUUUUCUUCUCAGUAUCUCCCCACAAUGUACUUACAGGCAGCUUUUGUAUCCCUGACCAGUCUUUGCAUUCUCUUUCCUAGACUAAACAAGCUCCUUUUGCCUCCCAUGGCAAGAUAAACUACACAGUGCAAGAACACUGGUGGUGGGCACCCCGUCCCUGGAGACAUUCAAGGUUAGGCUGGACGGGGCUUUGAGCAACCUGAUUUAGCUGUGUGCGUCCCUGUUCAGUGCAGCAGAGUUGGACUCGGUGACCUUUAAAGGUCCCUUCCAAAUCAAACGAUUCUGUGAUUCUAUGAUAACACGGAGUGAAGGUCAUUUCGGUAGCCUCGGGUCAGGCACGUGGUGGAGUGAGCUGGAGGAGCUCCGCACAAUGCUGUGAGCCAGCAAGGGGCUGAGCUGACCUCGCUUCUCCUGCUGCUCGGCUGACUUGCUGCUUCCCCCGGCCUUGCUAAUGAAGGGCUUUAGGCAAUCAAACAACUAAAUGGUAGCAGCCCAGAGGAUGGAAAACUGCUGGAUUUGUCUCUGCACUGUGAGAUUUGCUCAGGAGCAGGAGGCUGCGGUGAGGCUUCCUGUGUUGUGCCAUGGGGAGAGAAGGCAGUACGCUGUAUCUCUCCCCAGUUUCCUGAAUAGUCAGGCAGUGAUUUCUCUAACAUGCCAGCAUCUCCAAAUGCAAAGUGGUACAGAGCCAGGUUGUUUCUGCUUUAUGCAGAGAAGCGUGUUUGAAAUCUUGUAAUUAUAUGCGUGUUCAAAUUGAACUCUUAGGCAUAUGAGAAGACUGUGCAAUUCUCCGUUUCCCAGUAACUGAUCAAUGCUUUUUAAACCUCUAGGAAUUGUGAAUUUUGCUGCAGAUUGACUACUGCUAUGAGAUGUGGAGAAUGGAGCUUAUGAAAUUGAUUUUUGUCAGAUGGAAGUGGAAGGGUGAAACGCACAUCUUCCUUUUCUAAAGUUUGAUUGAUGAUGGCUAUUUUGAAGAAUGGUAAAAUGAAACAGGAUGGUUUGCAAUCUGCAGUUUUCCAGCUGGAGUCUGGCAACCUUGAUGAAGAGUUUUCUGAUUAUAGGAGUUCUAUAGAAAAUAAGGGAAUAAAAAGUAAUCUAUCACAGAUUACUCUGAUACCAUACCAAAAGUCUUUAUAUCAAGUGGGCAAAUUGUGCAUACCCGCAGACAACGUCAAGAAACACCAGAAGGCCUUGAAAGCCCACAAUGACCUCUGUGUAAUAUGCCCAGUUAUCAGAGGCAGACAACAUACAGCCUUCAUAGAAUCAUUUUUGCCAUAAACUAUACUCAAAGAGAAUUGUUGAAUUACAUUGAAUAUGCAACAAUCACCCAAUUUGCUUUUUUUUGUUGUUGUUUUUUUUGUUGUUGUUUUUGUUGUUAUUGUUUUUAAAUAAAGUCUUUCAAGAAAACAUGCCUUCAUUAAACAGGAAUUAUUGAAUCCCUACUCCUCAACUGCAGAAAACUUGGCUGACGAGUCAGUUCUGGAUGAAAAGCUGAUGAGCACCGAGAAAUGCUAAUGUGGGAAAAAUUCUGUUCAUUUUUCCUCUGCUAUAAGUCAUCAUCAAUGGCGCUGUUGAACGUUCAUCUGUGAUUUAAGAAGGCUGGUAUGGCUUCUUAAACCCAUUUUGUUUCAGAGCCUUACAACUCCUGGAGGUACAGUAUUCAUCACUACUGAUAGAGAUGGAUUAUGGUGGAUUCAUUAAGCUGUAACCAACGCAAAGACUUGGAUGCAAUGUUUUUACACACUAUAUAACCCUAACCAGCACAGCUGGCAUAUUUUGAAAUGACCCAGGAGAUCCAAACAUUUUUAGUAUCAGUUUUUCGUGAGGUUUGUCAUCUCCCUCUGAUUCACUUGGAAGCAUCUCAGCCAAGUGAUGGCACUGCCUGUUGAAGGGCCGUACAUGAAGGCCUUUCACUAAAGCUGAGCAUAUUUUUCUUCCAUACCACACAUUUGGCAACAAGGCUGGCUGAGAAAGUGCAUUCUGCUUUUCCCUUAUAUACGUCACUUCUGUAUGCUAUGCUGCCCUGUGACUCUGAGGCUGCCCUGGCAACUGGGAGAUGGAAAUGCUCUUCAUUAACAGGAAUUAUGCCUUAAGAAUGUCAGGUAUUGCUUCAAGGCAGUAAGAGUCUAUCUCAUAAAUGCAUAGUUUACUUGUGAAUGAAUAUGAUGUGAGAAGAGCGCCGUGGAAGAUAAAGUUUCAAAAUAUGUUACUGAUAAUUUAUAUCAGUGCAGUCAGUGCUAUCAAUGGCUGCAGCUACAGUAAUUUACAAGAAGUAUGAGCACAGAUGCACAUUAUGCACUUUGAGGGAAUUAUUUAACUUUAUUUCUUGAACUUGAAAAGUGUGUCUUGUUAAAAGUAAACGUAGAAAUCCUCCAAGGAGCUUAAUAAAAUAAAGCCAUAUUGUCAGGAUCAAUCUAGAAGGUAGUACUAAAGCAGCCAUCUCAGCAGUGGAAGUGUAGUUGUAGGGCCGUGCAUGAAAUUAAGAAUGCUUUUAGCAAUACAGUAGGACAACAUGAAUGAACCCAGUAUUGAAGAAUGAGUCUAAACAAAAUAUUCAGAACAGUGAGGCCAACCUGCAGCCUAGAGGUGAUAGGGCUCCCCAGGCAAUGACCAGGUUGUGGUGAGGCCCUGCCUCACGCCCUCUGUAAGUCUUUGCGGAAGCUGAUGUGGUGCAGGUGGGGAGCAGCUACCAUUUCAGCAUGCAGAUUUCAGUGAGGUAAAGAACCAUUCUGCACCGUAAGCUUUGCAGAUGUUGGCCAGGGCACAGCAAAUCGUGCUCACAGGUAUUUAUUUGACAUCCAAACUGUUUCAGCAGCAUUGUUCUGCUUUCAGCUUCCCAAAGGUGCCCUGUGUUGUUCUGUGAAUGCCACAAACAGAGCUGAAUACUCUGUGCGACUUCACCAGCUCUGGCAGGAGUGAAGAUAACCAGGUUCCCCAAAGGAGCACAAAUUCUCCUUGCUACAGCAGAAUAGUCUCAUCUUUUCCAGGUGCAUAAUGCCCAGCUACCAUCACCGGUCCAUGCUCUCCAUAGUAGCAAGCACCCAUGACCUACCUAUUGCACAGAUCGAGAUGCAUUUUGUGGAUAAAAUUUUCCUUGGCCUCUUGUGCUGACAGGUGAUGAACUUGUGAAAACCUUUGUACAGCUGAGGUCUGUGGCACUUUGAAAGUCAGCUAGAUUUUGAGGAACUCUACAUCUGCCAACAGACAGGGGUAAGCCACCUUCAUAACAGGAUCGCUUCAGCUUCCGCCUGCCUGGUGCAUUUCUUUGGCACACCAGGCAGCUCCAUCCUGCAUCAACAGCAGGCCUGGAAUUCAUGCUGUGCAAACUUAACCUUUCAAGCAUGAAUUUCUGACAAAGGUGGUUGCCCAGAGCAAAUGGUGAAGGCUUUUCUUGCAGAGAUGAAAAGGUGGAGAGAGGGAACCAGCUUGGCAGCUGGGGCAGUAAGCAAUCAGCGUUGUGUUUUGUUUUGUUUUAAAAGUGUUUGAAGUUUUUCCUGUGCGGCUGACUUGUGUUGCAGCAGAGAAGACCUCACCAUGGAGCGUUUCUCCCCAUCAUCUGCAGACGGGCUGCUGGCAGCACUCCCAUCCACAAUGAUCUAGCACAGCUGGCCUGCCAGGAUUUCUGUCUGAUAGCUGAAUAUUUUGUGUCAUGCCGUUCUUGGCUGCCCUUUUAUACUUUCUCCAUGUUACAGUGCACAAGAACCUCCAGCAGAUUCUCGGGUGAUGGGCAGGAAACCAUUUACCACGUCCUUCCUCCAAGCUAUGGUAUUGCUUUCAAAAAGCAUAAUCUAAUUGCUAGAAUCUGAGGAUUUGUCUUUGCUUGCUUUAGCCAGAGCUCUGGUGCCUCGAUGCCAUCAGGUGUGGCUCCUCUCCAUCACAUACCCUGAGAAGAAAGGUAUUGCAUCAUUGCAUGCACUGCCUCUUGCUGGCUGCAGUUCUCCAUUCUCCAGCACAUGCAGAAAGUAGUGGCUCAGAGGCUGUGCUGACUCUCCCUCCAUCCUUAGUGCCACGGAACAAUUUUUGAAGGAAGUGAUCAUGCUGAGCCAGUGUGGCUAUGGGGUAAUGGAGGCCACACAGGCAUGAUUUUGCUGGAGAUGAAGGAAGCCACGUUGUUUGGAAAGCCUUCACAUGAAGCUUGGAGCAAACGCACUCACUGCAGAGGAGAGGUGUACCUCUCCCAGGGAGUAACAGGAGCUGAGGAAUGGAAAUCAUUUGUGACAUUUCCAAUCUACGUCCUCUCAGGAGCAUAAAGGUGACUGCAGAGGAUGAAACCACUGGUCUUGCCAACAGUGUCCCGCUGAAGGAGGCUGUCACUGCAGCACGCCAAGGGGACAUGCAAGCAGCACGGUGGCAGGCAGUGUGGGACAAGCAGCUCUAGAAACCUUUCCCAAAACUGCUGCAAUGGGAGGCUGGCUGCUCCCCAGAAGCCCAAGAGUGUAAAUCCUUUCCAGAGCCCCUGUUUAUUUUUAUGUAUGUAUUACUAGCCCUCCAGCCCUCUUUCAAAUCCUGCUAAGCUUUUGGUUGUGAUGACACUCAAGAGGAAUGGAUUCCACAGAGUGAUUGCAUGCCACACAAAAAUUUAUUUCCUUUUUAUCAGUUUUAAAAGCUUCCCUUUUCAAUGUAAUUGAACGUUCCCUUGUGUUUAUACAGUGAAAGCGAAACCAGCAGCGUAUGUUUAUGAGGGCAUUUGCUGGACAGAGGCUGAGCCUGGCUUCCCACAGCUCCAAGCCAGGGGAAAUCACGCAGAGAAGAAUAAGCAAAUCAAUGGUUCUUUUAAUCAAAUUCAACAGUAAUUUGCAAGAAGAGGAAAAUCUUAUUCUUGAGCAUUUUCAUGGGAAAAUUAGUCCUUAUAACAGACAAAAGAUUUUUGCUUUUUUUUUUUUUUCUUUCCUAUUUGCCAUCCAGGAAUGAUUUCAUACAUUUUCACCCUCACCCUGUCCUUUUGUUCCAGCUGCAAAAUGUACACACGAACACCUCUUACUAAAGAGGCUAAUUAAGCACAUGAUCCCUUUUCCCUUCUCAUAAAAGCUGCUGGAGAGCAACCCAAGCAACGUCCUUACUACAGCUGUGCUCAGAAAGCUCCUUCCUUGGCAAGGGAAGGGUACUUGUGAUGGCAAGACAAGUCUGUUCCCACAUUUCCUGAUGUGCUGGGGUCACAUCACACGUUCAAGCACUGCUUUAACAGGGAAUAGAAACAUGGGCAGAAGUGGGUUUUUUUGGUGUCACUACAUUUCAGCAGAUGUUACAGGCUCAAUUAUCCCAGCACUUCAGCUGUAACAUUGCAUUUUCUCUCAGCUCCAUUUAUUUGGCUGAAACCCUUUCGUUGGAAGACACUGCCUUCUGUAGCUGGAGCUUCAGCGCGGUAGAGCUUGACAGCUACCUUUGGUAAGCAAAUUUAUCUUUUGGGAUUGACUCCACAGCCCAGCUACAAAUCACUUUUGACAUACAGCUGAACAAAACAAGCUUCUUAACGUGGAGUAUAAUACACCUGCCCAUUCUAGACUAUCCAAUGCUUUGAUGUGGGCUCAUUAGUCACAAAGAAUAAGUCAGCGUUCAGAUAAACUACACUUCUGCAAGGCAGGAAAAGUCUACGUUCAGCAUCCUCACAGGAAAGGUGAGCAUCUCUGCGUGUCGGGAAACAACGUAUACAUCCCACAGCUCCUGAGUCACAGCUGGGAAAUGCAGCAAGGCAGUUAUUCCAUUCUGAGGUCGACUGUGAUGAGCUGUGUUGGAGUGGUGGGCAGUUUUAAGAAAUGGGGAUCACUUCUUUCAUUUUGACUUCCUGCCUUCGCCGACUCUAUAAGCAUACCGUGGUCACCUUUCUUUCCUGCCUUGCUUUGUGAAAGAGAACUGGGCAUUUGUAAUAUGUAUAACAUAAACAUUUUAAACACUUUCUGAGGAGCACAGGUAAUGCAGUGUAAAUGAAGUUGAAAAUAACUGGGAAUGAUGAGCCAGGCAAAUAAUAUAGGAAUCAGCCAAAUGCUAAGCAAGCAAGGUAAAGAAAACGCUUCAAGAGAAUCAUUUUCUUUUGAAAUCUGCCUAAACAGAGAAUACAUCUCUCUCCUGUCCCCUGCUUUAUGAGCACACGUACAUGUUGAUUGGUAAGAAAGCAAGAGCUGCCACUGUACCGCAUUGCGAUCUAUAGCAAGAUGUGGCAGCUUUCCUCUAUUCCUUACCAGAAAUUCAGUAGAACAACAAGGAGAGGGGACACAUUAAAGUUUUAUUACUUCAGUGGCAGUAUUCUCCAGAGAAAACAAUAAUAAAUUCCCUACACUGUGACUGUCUAAAUAGAUUAUCCAACAAUUAUUAUUAAUUAUUAAUCAUCCACUGACUCAGAAGCCACCCCGUGGCUGCCUACUGCAAGAAUCCUACAGCUUUUGCAACCUAAUGAUAUGAUUUUCCAAAUUACAAUGUUGCAGUGCUAAACCAUAUGAAAGGUUAAUGGGAGAGGGAGUGAUGAAGUGAUACAAAUGUCCAAAAUUGUACCUUGACUUGCUGGCAGUAGGUUGUGAAAAAGCAACCCAAGCAAAUUCAGCAGAAAACUAGUUAACUUAAGGAUUAUUACAAGAACUGAAGUGGGAGUUGAAGGCAUUUUAAAGGGUCUGUGAAUUUGUGAAAAUACCUUAAAAUAGUCCAGGAGGCAAAAAAAUCUUGUUCUCUUCUGUUACCGAAGAGCACCUUUUCCAACCCAGCAUACAAGUGGCAAGGCUGAGUGCUGUAAUUCAUAUCACCUAUGCGCAUCCUUGGCUGCCCAUGUUUACCACAAGAUUGAUUUCUCAUUCUUAAGCACAUUUGUAACGUCUGUGCAAAUGAAUGUAGGACACAUCCCAACAAGAUCAAUAUUUAUGCAGCCUACUUUACAAAGAACAAGAGAGUUGCUUCAGCGCAGCAGGGGACCUACUCAUUGGCUUUCCUGCAGUUUCUUCUUUUCCUCCUUUUCCACACAGUUUUCCUGCUGAGUGCUCACUGCUGAUUAAAAGCAGUGCUAACGAAAAAAGUAGUGAAGGCUGCCUGGAGCAGUGGGACCCCAUAGGGACACACAGCCAAAUGCAGCGCCCAUAGCUCCUGUCCGCUGCUUCCUCCAGCCCCAUCCAUCUGCUUCCCUGUGGCUCACGGCUGCUCACACUUCAUGCCACUUGCAAAAGAGCAGCAAUCAAUUAUCCUAAUUAAAUGCAACAAUGGAAUAUUGAAUACCGUGGUUUAUUUCCUGCUCUAAAGGUUGGCGUCUUUAAUGUGUGCUUUCCUCACGCUGCUUGUCACAGCUGAUCUCGUGCGUUCAUUUUGUGUUAUAAACAGAGAGGGGAGACUGAAUGGUACCCGCAAUCAAUCAAAAGGCAGAAAGGGAGCAUUAAAACAUGCCAACCUUUGCGCAGUGUGCAGAUGUUGAAAAGCAUCCCCACCUGCAUUUUUUCCAGCUCUCAAGUCCCUGGCUUUUAGGAGGCUGCAUCUUCACCUAUCACUGGCAGGAGGUGGCCAUAUGAAUUGUCUUCUUUCUGCCCUAUUUAUCAGGAGACUUUUUUUUACCCUGACUUGAAUAAAGUUAGAGGCCCUCAAGUUCACCUACUGGUAUGGGUUUCUGCAGAGCUGUACAUGUCUUUAAAAAUAAAUUGGAGUUCAAGAUCAGUAGCUUCACCGUAUCCAUACCCUCUGAUUCACAGAGCUGGUUUAAUUCUCCAUCUCAUAAAGCACACAUUGCAGAUAUAAAACCCAUUCCCAGCAAGCAUUAUUUUUUUUUCCAAGGGACUCCACCACGAUUCCAGCAUUACAAACUCCAGGUUAUUAAUGAGCCUUCAUUUCCAUGGCUGUACCACUGAAAUGCAACAUUAGCAAAUAGCACGUUGAAUGCCUCUGCUGUAAAUAGUUCAAUUUUCCCGAGUAGCUAACUAGGCAAUAAGAUCCCUGUCACUUUUAUGUUGACAAAGUAUCUUAGUUACUAAGUAACUAUAGAGAUGUUUCCCUCCUGCUUGACGUAAUUACAAAAUGCCUUUCAUUAGCUGGUGAAAAUGUUCGGGCUCAAAGCACAAUUCCUACAGCACGCUUCCCUGUUUGCAGGGAAUGCAACUUACGGUGACCUAUAUCAGCUAAGAAGAUUUCCUGCUUAUUUCCCCGUGCCUAUAGCCCCUUACAUCCAGGCUGCAGCUGCCUCCCAAACUGUGAGCUCAGCCCCCAUUGGUUUUGCUGCAUCCCUGAUCCCCAGACAGACCUCUCUCAGCCCGUGUGGGCUUCGUCCUUGGUGCUGGCUGAAGCUUUGGCCUACGGAAGCUGGGGCUCUGUAGCCUGUGCCUGCACACAUCCCACUCAGGGUUAGCAUAUUACAGGCACCAUUUGAUCAUAUUUGUGAUACAGCAGAAAUUGUAACACAUAAACAGUACUGAUGUAGUUUCAGCAGAUGCUUUUUCCUCGAUGCUAGGAGGUGACAGAGGCUCCACCACCUUCCAGACUGGCUGUGCCUCACCCUGCUGCCCCAACUGGCUGUACAUGUUAGAUUUUCCCUCAGUGACUAGCCUGAAACUUCCUCACUGCCUCACAGGCAGAGCAGUGCAAUUCUGUUCCUCUCUUUGGCAUGUUGCAAUGGCCUCCUUUCCUCCUUCAGGCAGGACUACAGCUAAAGGCAGCUUUACUUGUCCUCCAUCACGUCUUACAGAUGACUGCUUGCAGCUCGGACUUUGUUAGCCAGGUCUCCAGGUAUCCGAGGUCAGAGUAUAGCCGCCAGCCUGCAAAUAACUGACUUCAGCAUCGCUGCCAAUGCACAAAUAGCUAACUUCUGCACAACAUCCUCUGCCUUCCUUGCUAGGGGCACCUGCCCUCAUCCUUUUGCCAUUGCUGUUAAUUGCAUCAUCCACCCACAGGCAGCUGAUGCUUCAGGGAAAAGAAGUCAAACAUAAAAAGCACUGGGCGUCUCUCCCACCAAAAGGAAAGCCGCCAAAAAUCUCCCAUUUCAGCACAUUUAUCCACCAUUCCUGCCAGUACGGCUGCUCUGUGGCUACUGGCAGUCCCAAUACCUCAUGCUAGUGGCACCUGGUUUCCACCUCAUUCUUCUCCACUCCUGUACACUGGGGCUAUGCUUGGAAUGCAGCUCACCAGCCCGGUGUGUCUUCUGCCCACUCCUCCCACCUGGGCUGGAGAUGGAUGAGGACAACAGCUAGAGGGAGCGAGCGGGGGCAGCAAGCUUUGGGGCCACUCACAAACCCAGUAAUCAACCAGCUGGUUCCACAGAAAUCCACCUUUUCUUCCUUCUCUUUGGAUGACAAAUGAAAAAGAAACUUACAUCAACACGGAGGUGCUCUCUUCCUUGUUUACAGAGAUCCCUACCUGCAGGCAAUGGCAGCCUAUAAACUCUGUCUGCAGCCCAAGGGAUCAUGCCAGGCCCUUACAGAGUGUGCAGUAAGAGUAGUGCCACUGGGCAAACACAUCCCUCUUUACUCCAAUUAGUAUCACUGCCAAAAAAAAAAAAAAAAAGGAAAGAAAAAAAUGUUUAUCAGUCUAUGGAAGAUUUGUCCCGUUUGCUUCAGGCUCCACCUAUCCAUGGAGUUAAACAUUUAUCGACGCCUGUGCAAGUGCAGCCAGAGAGCUGAACAAAAGCUGAACAUUUCCAAAAUGAAGCCAGCUCCCAGUGCCAGAAGAUGUGGUGCUCAAAGGAAACUAAGAUGAGCAAGACUGCAAAGCUGAGAUGCCUGCGCUUGUAAAUUGCUUGCAACAGGUCCAACAAUUACCUGCCUGGUGCUGUUGUUUUACCUUUUGCCUACCACUGGGUAUGCAGUUAAGCUCAUUAAAGUGUGGCAUUGAGUCAC